rnacentral:rRNA from 1 species
CGGGACGGGUGAGUAACGCGUGGGUAACCUGCCCUGUACACACGGAUAACAUACCGAAAGGUAUGCUAAUACGGGAUAACAUAAGAAAUUCGCAUGUUUUUCUUAUCAAAGCUCCGGCGGUACAGGAUGGACCCGCGUCUGAUUAGCUAGUUGGUGAGGUAACGGCUCACCAAGGCGACGAUCAGUAGCCGACCUGAGAGGGUGAUCGGCCACAUUGGAACUGAGACACGGUCCAA